CACUACUGCCUGCUUGUUACUGUCCAGUUUGUGCCAGUCCUCACCAGUCACUGAGGCUGCCAUCAGUUGCAGCUGUGUGAGACAGUUUAAAUUACCAUCUGGUUUCUACAGGUCUAGACGGAAUCAUCCAUGAAGUUGCAGUUCUUCACAGUAAAUUUUUUCCUAUGUAUUUCAUUUAUAUUGAACUACUUGAAAUAUCUUCUCUUUUAACCUUAAGUAGUUUAAGAUUAGGUGAUGAUGGUGUCCUGUGAAAAGCCACUUGGGUCAGGUUGCUUUGUGUCAGUGCAAACAGACAGUUUUUGCACUUGUAUUUAGCAGUGUGGAAAAGAACAGCUGUGUAGCCAUGGGAUUUACCUACAUGCUGCUAAAAGACCAUCUAGAUGCUCUGACAUCAGAAUGUUUUUCUGAACAUCUGUCUGUCACAAAGGCAGAUAUUAAAAUAAGUGUAGAUAUUAUGUCCAAGUAGAGCUAUGUGAUUAUAUUAAUUCAAGGUUCUUUGGCUUUCAACAUCACAUUUCCCAUUAUAUAAAAAUUGAGCCCUGUGUCCAUACAUGCUUCUUACACUGUCUUCCUUGUGUUUCCUCAGAGAAUGAUUCUUCAUGCCUACAGAGCAUGCAUGCUGCUUUUAGAAAUACUGGUCAAACACAGCUAUAACUUUCCUCACUGCGUCAGAGUGUUUUCCCCAACCCAGUGCAGAUAAGAUGAACUUUACCAGUCUCCAUCACUGUUCUGUCGCAAGAAGUUUCCCAAUUACAUCCAGAAAUUCUCUAGCCUUCAGAUCCCUUCUCCAGAGCUCCCUUCCCUCAUCCCUUGUUUCAUCCACGCUGCCCUAAAUGUGACCACACCACCUAACUUGGAGUCUGAAAUGUAAGAAGUUGCAAAAACAGGCUCUUCCCAGCAGGUGCUGUGGCUGGGUUGUCUUUUCUUCUAGGAACGGGAUUGACCAGCUCCCUGCAGAAGUAGAGGUUCAGUCUUUGAUCGUAUGCUGCCCUUGACUACAGAAUUUAGAAGAACCAAAAACUGUAUGCUCCUAGAGAUGUCCUUCAGUCAUAAAAUGAAGGUCUGGACCAACUGCCUGUUCCGUGGCAUUCUUGGAAGACAAGGUUUUUCUUCACCAGUCCCUUUGUCCUCACGAAUCUCAGACAGAGCUGCCUGCUCGUCUGCUCACUGCAGAGGUGGGGAAGGCACCUCUGGUUGCACUGGCUUCAACCACGAGAUGGCACUGUUUGCGGGCAGGAUGUCACCUGUCCAAAUCCUUGCGGAGGUGAUGCCCCUCCUUCUUGAAGUGCAACGUUACAGUAGUAUUAUGUUUCUAAUUUGGUUCGUUAGAGAUCUUCAGUGUAUCUUCAUGACGCAGGAGCUGGCCUUAAAAUCAAGUGAGAGGUGCCAGGAUUUGUGCCUCAAAUGUCUCACUGGCAUUGUAGAGUUCAAGCUUUGUGGAUCUUACAAUUAUGCAGUCGUACAAUGGGUUGGAUUGGAAUGGACCUGAAAGACCAUCGAGUUCCAUUCCCUGUGCUGUGGGUAGUGUAGCCACCCACCAGAUCAGGCAGCCCAGGGCUCCAUCCAACCUGGCCUUGAACGCCUCUAGGAAAUGGGUAUCUACAGCUUCUCUAGGCAGCCUGUGCCAGUGUUUCAUCACCCUCUCAGUGAAAACUUCCUUGGCCUUGUUGAACCUUAUGUUAAUGUGGGCCCAUUUCUCAAGCCUGUCCAGGUCCCUCUGGAUGUCAUCCUUUCCUUCUGUGUUAUCAACAGCGCCACACAGUUUGGUGUUAUCUGCAAACUUGCUGAAAGUGCACUCAAUCCCACUGUGUCAUUGAUAAAGAUAUAAAAGAGCACAAGUCAUGCACAAGUACCUUGUUUUUUUACGUGAUAUGUUUCUAUUAUCCAGUGCUUUGUUUUGUUUAGUGCAUCAAAGCCCCUGUAUUCAAGCUUUUAAACAGAUGAAAAAUAGAGAGAAAAUAUUACUCCAAAGGGUUCCAUGUGUUUUGUUUUGUUUUUCUUUAAGGUUUCAUUGAGUUUUGAAGGCUUUAGUAGCAUUGAUAUCAAGUAGAAAUCAGCAUGAAAUCCUGCAUGAAGAUUUCAGAGUGCUGUUUGCAUACUAGUCUACCACAUUCUUUGCAUCUUGUAUAGACAAAAGUAAUCAACCACACAGCCACUGUAAGCCCUCUGUGGUGCGUUUCUGCUCUGCCCCUUCUUUGGGCCUUCUACUGUAAAAAGUCUCCCCCUGUCCAGUUCUUAUAAUUAGCUUUGAAUGAACAAGGCAGUUCCUGAGUCUUUAAUGCUCAUGAUGUUCCAUCACUGAAUAACAUUGAAGCUGGUCUUGCACUGAGUCAAUUCAAGCAGAAAUGACCAAAUAAUUUGUUAUAUUUGAUGAAAAAUAGUGAAAUAAUGCAGAAGAAAGUUAGGCUCCCUUAUUCAGAUGAUUGAUGCUAGCAAAAAAAAACCUCAAAAAACAGCAACCACAACAGUGUGCUAAGUAGAAAAUAGAUCUCAUUUACCAAACUAUGUGUGAACAGUCUAAUUGCAUCUGAGGCUUUUGAUGAGAUCAUUUCAUGUAACUGGCCCAUGAAACGUGGUAUUUAUUAUUAAUGUAAUUUGGAUAUUAUUAUAUCUCAGAGGUAUAAAGAUGCAGUAGAUGUCUAGAGGCCACAGUACUGCAUUGCCAUCUUUGGAAGGUAAGAUGAAGGGAAAUACUUUGCUCUGUUCAUUCUGCUAUUUAUCAAUUAUGAGACUUCCCUGCCUUCAGUCCUUUUCUGUUUCAAGACAAAACACGGGCAGUGAUUGGGUGAAGGCUGAGCUGGAUAUGCCAUAGCAUGUCCACCCCAAGCCCUCCUUGGGACAGUGGGCAUCAUCCACUUGCCUGAAUCACACACGAAUGCUGCCCUCCUUGUCUGUUGGCACUGACAGCAGGCUGUCCUGCCCCAAGGUGGCUUGGAUUUGGGUGACCACUGAGCACUGUCACAGCAGCUGGGAAACUUAGUGUGCACAUCUGAAUGAUCUUGAUUGAGCAGUUGAUACCAGGCCAUUUUCAAAAAUGUCUUAUCAUCCUGCGUUAAUGGGUUGGCAUCCAGAUCAACCUGUGGCUGGUUCCUUGCUUCUGCCUGAAAGAGGAGAAGGAUAUAAAAUGAGCAGGAGAAUGCCUAUGGUUGAUGCUGAAAGGUGUCCUGAGUCCUUUGCAUGACAGCCAGAAGAGGACAGUAGCAAAUUUCAUCAUAUUACAUGGACACAAACCAAGAUUCUUCUUGGUUCCAGGCACAGGAAAGCUCAAACAAAAAACAGCAUCUGGAGUGUGUUCUUCUACUUCUUUUUCCAUUCUCUCUGUGACUUCCCAGCUGUAAAAAUGAGAAAGACAAUUUUAAUAUUGAACCUACAUUUCUGUUCUAAAUUUUGUAUUAGAAUCACACAAGCCUGUGUCACCUAUAACUUUAAUAAUAUUCAAGAAGUCCAUAUAGCAUUUAGUGUUUUGUAGAAAAGCCAUUUAUUUCUUUAUUCUCUAUGCUAGGUUUCUGAUUACUUUCUACUUUAUUCUUCAUUUGUGACUUUUAAUUUUAAAAGAUACCAUUUAGGUUUAACUAAACCAAUUUUCAGUACUGCAAUAUCACAUCUUCUACUCUUCAUUUUGAAAUGAAUUUGAGAGCGUGAUAAAAGCAUAUGAAGAACAGGUCACAUAGAUCAAGCUGGGCUGAGCAGCACCGAAAAUGAUUCUUUCAAUAAAAAUUCAUCCUUAAUUUAGUUCUGGAAUGCA
rnacentral:lncRNA from 1 species